CAGGGUUAGGGCUUCAGGGCCAGGGCCCGGGGCCCAGGGUUAGGGCUUCAGGGUCAGGGCCCAGGGCCCAGGGUUAGGGUUUUAGGAUCAGGGCCCGGGGCCCAGGGUUAGGGCUUCAGGGCCAGGGCCCGGGACACUGGGUUAGGGCUUCAGGGUCAGGGCCCGGGGCCCAGGGUUAGGGCUUCAGGGUCAGGGCCCGGGGCCCAGGGUUAGGGCUUCAGGGUCCGGGCCCGGGGCCCAGGGUUAGGGUUUUAGGGUCAGGGCCCGGGGCCCAGGGUUAGGGUGAUUUCCAGGAAGUGACCUCACAACGACUCAAGCUACCACUUACUGUUGAUUGUGAUGAAAUGCCAGCUGAGGCACACGCCUUGGGAGCUAAGUGGUUGCUGCACUUGACUACUAUGAAGACUGGUGUGGGAAGGGUCGCUUUGGAUGCACUUGAGCAGGGGUCCCCAACCCCUGAGCCAUGGAGCCGUAAGGAGCCACACAGCAGGUGAGUGGUGUCGAGUGAGGGAGUGAGGGAAGCUUCGUCUGUAUUUACAGCCACUCCCCUUUGCUCACAUUCCCGCCUGAGCUCCACCUUCUCAGAUGAGCAGCAGCAUUAGAUUCUCAUAGGAGAACGCACCCUGUUGUGAACCGUGCAUGUGAGGGAUCUAGGUUGCGCUGUGCUUAUGAGAAUCUAAUACCUAUUGAUCUGUCACUUUCUCCCAUCACGCUCAGGUGGGACCAUCCAGUUUCAGGAAAACAAGCUUAACACGCCCACUGAUUCUACAUUAUGCUCCUACCUCCCGGCAGCCUCGCCAGGCCCAGAACUCUCUCCAGUCAGCCUCUACAGACCAAGCUCAUGACUCACAAUGGCCUAUUGAGGCCCAUACCCUACCUCACGGCAGUCUCCGCAGAUGAGCCUACUGCCUCACAACAGCCUCCACAGGCACAGCUCCAUCGUUACAAUGGCCUCUUUAGACCCAGCUCCUGCCUCCCAGCCUUCUCUCCAGGCCCUGAACUUUCUCCGUGGGACCAUCCAGUUUCAGGAAAACAAGCUUAACACGCCCACUGAUUCUACAUUAUG